UACCGAGGUCUCAACCGUUGUUCGGAUUCAUUGGGCGUAAAGCGUGCGUAGUCGGUUAUCUAAGUCGGAUGUGAAAUCCCCGGGCUCAACCUGGGAAUUGCAUUCGAUACUGGAUAGCUAGAGUUCGGCAGAGGGAAGUGGAAUUUCGGGUGUAGCGGUGAAAUGCGCAGAUAUCAGGAGGAACACCGGUGGCGAAGGCGGGUCUCUGGGCCGUAACUGACGCUGAGGAGCGAAAGCGUGGGGAGCGAACAGG
rnacentral:rRNA from 1 species